rnacentral:rRNA from 1 species
AGUAACACGUGAGUGACCUGCCUUUUAGACUGGAACAACUUACCGAAAGGUGAGCUAAUGCCGGAUGAGUUAUAUAAGUGCAUGUUUAUAUAGGAAAAGUUGGGGAGACCUGACGCUGAAAGAUGGACUCGCGUCCCAUUAGCUAGUUGGUAGGGUAAUGGCCUACCAAGGCGACGAUGAGUAGCCGGCCUGAGAGGGUGGCCGGCCACACUGGGACUGAGACACGGCCCAGACUCCUACGGGAGGCAGCAG